rnacentral:rRNA from 1 species
CCUACGGGAGGCAGCAGUGAGGAAUAUUGGUCAAUGGACGGAAGGCUGAACCAGCCAAGCAGCGUGAAGGACGACUGUGCUAAGGGUUGUAAACUUCUUUUGUAAAGGGAUAAAAUGAGGCUCGAGAGCCUGACCGCGGGUACUUGAUGAAAAAGCAUCGGCUAACUCCGUGCCAGCAGCCGCGGUAAUACGGAGGAUGCGAGCGUUAUCCGGAUUUAUUGGGUUUAAAGGGUGCGUAGGCGGGGUGUUAAGUCAGCGGUUAAAGCCUCGGGCUCAACCGCGAGCGGGCCGUUGAUACUGGCUGUCUUGAGGAGACUAGAGGUAUGCGGAAUGCGCAGUGUAGCGGUGAAAUGCUUAGAUAUUGCGCAGAACUCCGAUUGCGAAGGCAGCAUAC